AUUGAACGCUGGCGGAAUGCUUUACACAUGCAAGUCGAACGGCAGCACGGGGGCAACCCUGGUGGCGAGUGGCGAACGGGUGAGUAAUACAUCGGAACGUGCCCGGUCGUGGGGGAUAACGUAGCGAAAGUUACGCUAAUACCGCAUACGAUCUGAGGAUGAAAGCGGGGGACCUUCGGGCCUCGCGCGAUCGGAGCGGCCGAUGUCAGAUUAGGUAGUUGGUGGGGUAAAGGCCUACCAAGCCGACGAUCUGUAGCUGGUCUGAGAGGACGACCAGCCACACUGGGACUGAGACACGGCCCAGACUCCUACGGGAGGCAGCAGUGGGGAAUUUUGGACAAUGGGCGCAAGCCUGAUCCAGCCAUACCGCGUGCAGGACGAAGGCCUUCGGGUUGUAAACUGCUUUUGUAUGGAACGAAAAGGCUCUGGCUAAUACCUGGGGCUCAUGACGGUACCGUAAGAAUAAGCACCGGCUAACUACGUG
rnacentral:rRNA from 1 species